CUGGGAGGAGGUGGAGGGGCUGGCGGAGGAGGGGCACGCAGCGCCAGGGUGCUGUGCUAGAGCCCAGUCAGGACUGCAGGACCCACCGGACUCGCCGCCUGUGUGCUCCUGCGUGAAAUCGUGCUGUCCCGCUCCUGCUGCCUGCUGCUCUCCCCGCCCCAAGGCUUCUCCGGACCACCCUCUUUGCACAGGAAAAUUUCCAGUUCUCAGUAUAACUGCCAACUGGCCCAGGGGUGGACAAGUGAGUCAGAUGAGACCAAAAUGAAAAUUCUGUUGAGACACUGGACCUUGAGGAUUCAAGCCAAGGACAAAAAAGUAGAAGGCCACUAGAAACAGCAGGUGAUGGCCCCAGCUCCUGUCCCUCCAUGCAGAACAUCUGUCAACACCUGUGGACAUCUUUUCCUCCCCCCAUUCCUAUGAAUGUUGCUCGGUUGUUACAUGGCAUGGACAAAUGCUGUUGGCUGGUGGCAUGGACACACUGGACAAGCUUGGCCUUCGGUAAAACAAAGACUGGAUUCAAUUACUCAAACUGAAACAGGAAUGCUUGGAUGAACAAGCCUGCCAGGAAGUCCCACUGGAGGUACUCAACCUGUGCCCCUUCCCUCUUUGGACCAAGAACCUGAACUUGAGAGAUGAAUGGCUUAUCCAAGGUUAUGGCAAGGUUACACAGAGCUGAAACUAGACACAGGUGUACAUGCCUAUUGAUCAAGGCUGGCUGUGAAAUCGAACUGCCUCAAAUCUUGAUUCUUUUUGCCACUUCUGAUUCUCGGACCCUGUUUU